UCCAUAAUGUGUGGAACUCAUGAUCAGAGAAUCUUGAUUCUCGAUCACUGAGUCUCAAAUAUGUAGGAUUCUGCACCAGCCAUUAGAUCAGAUAGGAAUCUCUAAUGUGUGUGACCCCGCAGGUUCGAAUCUAAGCCGGUAGCACAGGAACAAAUUUCUGUACUAAUCGAAGUGACCAUCUAGCAAUGGUACCCGACAUCCAG
rnacentral:lncRNA from 1 species